rnacentral:rRNA from 1 species
GACGAACGCUGGCGGCGUGCCUAAUACAUGCAAGUAGAACGCUGUCUACUUUAGCUUGCUAGAGUAGAAGGAGUUGCGAACGGGUGAGUAACGCGUAGGUAACCUGCCUACUAGCGGGGGAUAACUAUUGGAAACGAUAGCUAAUACCGCAUAACAGUGUUUAACACAUGUUAGAUGCUUGAAAGAUGCAAUUGCAUCACUAGUAGAUGGAACUGCGUUGUAUUAGCUAGUUGGUGGGGUAACGGCCCACCAAGGCGACGAUACAUAGCCGACCUGAGAGGGUGAUCGGCCACACUGGGACUGAGACACUGCCCAGACUCCUACGGGAGGCAGCAGUAGGGAAUCUUCGGCAAUGGGGGCAACCCUGACCGAGCAACGCCGCGUGAGUGAAGAAGGUUUUCGGAUCGUAAAGCUCUGUUGUAAGAGAAGAACGUGUGUGAGAGUGGAAAGUUCACACAGUGACGGUAACUUACCAGAAAGGGACGGCUAACUACGUGCCAGCAGCCGCCGUAA